rnacentral:piRNA from 1 species
UGAAUUGGCUGUGGACUCCU